rnacentral:rRNA from 1 species
UACGGGGGGGGCGAAGCGUUGUUCGGAAUUACUGGGCGUAAAGGGCGCGUAGGCGGCCUGCUAAGUCACACGUGAAAUCCCUCGGCUCAACCGGGGGAACUGCGUGUGAUACUGGCGGGCUUGAAUUCGGGAGAGGGAUGUGGAAUUCCAGGUGUAGCGGUGAAAUGCGUAGAUAUCUGGAGGAACACCGGUGGCGAAGGCGGCAUUCUGGACCGAUAUUGACGCUGAGGAGCGAAAGCCAGGGGAGCAAACGGGG